CCUACGGGAGGCAGCAGUAAGGAAUAUUGGACAAUGGUCGCAAGACUGAUCUAGCCAUGCCGCGUGCAGGAUGAAUGCCCUAUGGGUUGUAAACUGCUUUUAUACGGGAAUAAACCCCUCUACGUGUAGAGGGCUGAAUGUACUGUAAGAAUAAGGGCCGGCUAACUUCGUGCCAGCAGCCGCGGUAAU
rnacentral:rRNA from 1 species